UGUCUUAUCAACUCAGAUAAUCAGGUGCCACCUCUCUCCGUCUCUUAGUAAUUCUGCUUCAAAUUUUGGAGGAUUAAUUGGUUUUGAUUGAUGCGAUUCUGACUAGUGGUGAAUUUGCAUUUUGGAAAUUGGAAAGUCUUCUAGAGUGGCUUGUACUGUGUGAAUUAGGAGCUUACUGGACCUAUUGUUUGUCCAUAUAUGUUUGUUUGUUUGUUUCCAUAAUGUUGGUGCUUUUUUUUAAAAAAAAUUGAUUAACUGGUUAAAGAAGUUGGUUUUGUUGUUAUUAUAACUGGACAUUGAUGUUGAAUCUGAUUGCCUAUCAUCUAUGGAGGAAGAUCCGAAAUUGUGGACGAUGUUCGUGAGCUGAGAACCUGCUUAAUCUUCAUAUGAUUUUUGUUUUUAAAUACCAAUAUUGAAAUUUAAAUGGGAAGAAAAAUCGGAUCUCUAGAUAUUUGUUAAAUUUUCCUAAAAAAAUGGGAAAUUUGAUUUAUUAUGAGUAAUUUAUGGGUGAUUUAUUGAUACAAUAAACUAGAGAUAGAUAUGCUCAAUGUCUGAUACUAUCUCAUUGAUUCCUCUUUCCAAUUAUCUGUUGUUUGAGUGUUGGAGGAUGUGGCCAUCUUCUAUAUCAUCAUAUCAAACUGCAAGGAUGGAAGACGACUGAUUUUGUAGCAAUAGUCAUAUUGUAUUAAACAGUAAACUGGAUGACUUCUCCUCUCCACAAGUUGGAGGAUCUGUUAGUGAAUAUAUCUUCAGUUUAAAAUAAGUAGAAGGUUUAAUGUUCGCUGAUACAGCUAUUCAGCUAACAUAUGUAUAUCGUACACUUAUCUAUUAUGUAGUAUGAUCAUAUUAAUUCACAGAUGGGACUAUGAAUAUAUUACCUCCUUUUUUGAUUCAUUAUAAG
rnacentral:misc_RNA from 1 species